rnacentral:rRNA from 1 species
UGAGGGAUAUUGGUCAAUGGGGGCAACCCUGAUGCAGCGACGCCGCGUGAGCGAUGAAGCCCUUCGGGGCGUAAAGCUCUUUCGACCGGAACGAUAAUGACGGUACCGGGAGAAGAAGCUGCGGCUAACUACGUGCCAGCAGCCGCGGUAAUACGUAGGCAGCAAGCGUUGUUCGGAGUUACUGGGCGUAAAGAGUGCGUAGGCGGUUUUCUAAGUUCGGUGUGAAAUCCCCCGGCUUAACUGGGAGGGUGCGCCGAAGACUGGGAAGCUGGAGUGUGGGAAAGGCAGGCGGAAUUCCUGGUGUAGAGGUGAAAUGCGUAGAUAUCAGGAGGAACACCUGCGAUGUAGACGGCUUGCUAGACCAUAACUGACGCUGAGGCACGAAAGCGUGGGUAGCAAACA